UUAAAAUUGUCGUUGCUUGUUGUGUGCUACAUAAUUUCAUACGGAGAGAAGAUAGAUCAGACCAAGACUUGCGUGACAUAGGUGUACCAGUGGGUGACGUUGAGGAUAAUCCUACCCCAAAUGAGGUAUCAACAAUUGAUGAAAGGCAAUGGCUAGUCCAAGUCACUCAACGAGCAAAGGAUGACUGGAUCAGAACUCGUGACAGGAACGCAGAGCGCAUGUGGGCAGACGCCCAAAACAAUAGUAGGAUUCGAUAAUCCUACUUAGUUUUUGUGAUAAUAAUGACAUACUACAUGACUAAAGUAAUGGAUGUAAUGAGUUUUUUAUAUAAGUUCGAAGUACUAGUUUUUUGCACUUUGUACACCCAAGCUAAUAAAUUUUUCUACAUACAUCAACAACUGUUUAUUUAUGUAGAUAUUCAUAUUGGAAAAUCUUAUAGUUGACACAUACUGUAUUCUGCAUGAUUCUCUUUGUGUAAUUGCCUUCCCAUCUAUACAUAGGUGAUAUGUCAGCCAAUUUGGGAGGUUCUACUCCAACUCCGACGCAAUCGCCGCUCCGUAGCCCGGUUCUACCAACACAUUGCUCACCACGUGAGAAGUCCAUAAAAUCUCUAGCAAAGCCUUCCUCCGGUACUGCCAAGAUCAAAUGGACUGAAACUAUGGAUCAAGUUUUGUUUAACACCUUGAUUGAGCAAAUUGUGCUAGGUAGAAAGGCAGAUAAUGGCUUCAAACGAGAAGUAUAUCAAGCAGCCGCCGACGAGGUUCAUAAACGUACACAGAUUCUUGUCACCUAGCAAAAUGUUCAAAAUAUAUUGAAGUAUCACAAGAGGGAGUACGGUGAUAAAAAGGACAUACUGGCUGUGAGCGGUUUCGGUUGGGACAGUGAGUGCAUGGUGGUGACAGCCCCAGACGAUGUUUGGGAUGAGUAUUUAAAGUCUCAUCCGCGAGCUGAGAGGUUGCAUCGCAAGUGAAUUAAACGGAUGGAUGAUUUAUCGGUGAUUGUCGGGUCUAACCAGGCUAUGGGCAGAUAUGCGCAAGGAAGUAGGAACAUUGUGGCAUCCUUGUCUCGUGUUUAUAGAGACCUGAAUGAUUCGUGGAGAGAGCUAGACAAUGAUACAGAUGUUAUCAUGGACCUAUCUGAGGAAAACCUCUAUGAAUCACCUAGCAUAUAUGGCCAAUCAACGGACAGUCAAACAAGG